AGCAGCCGCGGUAAUUCCAGCUCCAAUAGCGUAUAUUAAAGUUGUUGCAGUUAAAAAGCUCGUAGUUGAACUUCAGGCCUGGCUGGACGGUCCGCCUUCUGGGUGAGUACUGUCUGUGGUCGGGUCCUACCUUCUGGCGAAGCGUCAUGGCCUUCACCGGCCGUGGCGGGGAGCCAGGACUUUUACUGUGAAAAAUUAGAGUGUUCAAAGCAGGCACGCGCUUGAAUACAUUAGCAUGGAAUAAUGGAAUAGGACAGUGGUUCUAUUUGUUGGUUUCUAGGACCGUUGUAAUGAUUAAUAGGGAUAGUUGGGGGCAUUAGUAUUCAAUUGUCAGAGGUGAAAUUCUUGGAUUUAUUGAAGACUAACUACUGCGAAAGCAUUUGCCAAGGAUGUUUUCAUUAAUCAAGAACGAAAGUUAGGGGAUCGAAGACGAUCAGAUACCGUCGUAGU
rnacentral:rRNA from 1 species